rnacentral:lncRNA from 1 species
UUUUUGUCAAAAAAGUGAUACAUCAUCCCACAAAAAGAGAAAGAAGGUUCCCUCUACUUCAAGGGGAAUUGAAGAAGGCAAGAAGCGAAGUUUUAAUGUCGUUAAAAAGAGACUAAGUUGUUAUCAGGGGCGGAGCAAGCAUCCGGCGAGGAGGCACGAUCGCGUGUGCUCGCUCCGUCGAAAUAUUCAGAACCCUCAUGAAGCAAUCAGCAGUAGGUUGCAGUUGCAGACUUGCAGAGCUGGCUCGAGAUGGAACUUGGAAGACGAAGAUGAAAGAGACGACCUAUUAUUUUUUGUUUGGACGGAAGUGAGUAAUUAAGUUAAUAAGAUGUUGGGCCUCUUUUUGUUUAGCCCAAUAAAUUCCCAAAUGAACGAAAUAACAAAUGGUCCAAUUUCCUAAUGAUCAUAUCUAUUCCAUUUUCAAAUCAAUUCCAAGAAUCCAAUUGCCCAAAUUGUGAAGGGUGAAAGCCAAACGCUUUUCCUCUCCUCCACUCUCUUGUCCAGACGGCACACACUCCAUUCUAUAAUUCCAUUCAAAAUCGAAGAAGAAGCAGCACCGACUCCACGAGGAGGAGGAGUUGUUGGAGCCCAAAGCCGCCAACGAUAUGUUCUGCUGCCGUCUGUCGUUUCUGCCUUCUGGUCUCGAGCUGGUGAUUGGUGACUCUUUCUCUCUCUCGGUUUUUUUUUUGUUCUAUUUUGUAUUCGCCCUUGCUUGUUGAUGUUG